rnacentral:rRNA from 1 species
CCUACGGGAGGCAGCAGUGGGGAAUUUUGGACAAUGGGCGCAAGCCUGAUCCAGCAAUGCCGCGUGCAGGAUGAAGGCCUUCGGGUUGUAAACUGCUUUUGUACGGAACGAAACGGCUCUUUCUAAUAAAGAGAGCUAAUGACGGUACCGUAAGAAUAAGCACCGGCUAACUACGUGCCAGCAGCCGCGGUAAUACGUAGGGUGCGAGCGUUAAUCGGAAUUACUGGGCGUAAAGCGUGCGCAGGCGGUUUAUAUAAGACAGAUGUGAAAUCCCCGGGCUCAACCUGGGACCUGCAUUUGUGACUGUAUAGCUAGAGUACGGUAGAGGGGGAUGGAAUUCCGCGUGUAGCAGUGAAAUGCGUAGAUAUGCGGAGGAACACCGAUGGCGAAGGCAAUCCCCUGGACCUGUACUGACGCUCAUGCACGAAAGCGUGGGGAGCAAACAGGAUUAGAUACCCUGGUAGUCCACGCCCUAAACGAUGUCAACUGGUUGUUGGGUCUUCACUGACUCAGUAACGAAGCUAACGCGUGAAGUUGACCGCCUGGGGAGUCGGCCGCAAGGUUGAAACUUAAGGAAUUGACGG